ACGUUGAAACACCAGUUCCCGUACAAUUACCGAAGUUAAGCAAUGUCGAGCCUGGUCAGUGCCUAGAUGGGUAACCACUUGGGAAUACCAGGUGC